rnacentral:lncRNA from 1 species
UCUCGGUUUGCAACGAUAUAACCUGGACUUUGAAGGGUUGGUUUUAUGAUUGUGAAUGAGAUUGGCUAUAUUAAUUCUCCAUACUCCGCAUGCAUCUACAGGUGCAAUCAGCCUAGCUUUACAACCUGUUUGAAUGGUAGUUUGCGGCUUCAUAGAACCGCUUGUGGUACUACUCCUUCGACCAUCACGGCUACAUGUAAACACAACAUAUCUCACAAUUCCGUCAUCAUCCUUUUGCGAGUUUCUUUUCCUAACCGGGAAGCCCACGUUGUACGCAUAUCUUUUGUAAAAAUCAAACAUUUCUUUUUCAUCAUCGAGCUUCAUACCUACCUUGGGCACAAUCAUACAAUCUAAUCCUGCAGUUCCAUCAUCCACUAAGUUAACACUUUCCAACAUAUUGUUGUUAUCUGAUUCUAACAAGAUAUCAUUCUUCACCUCUUCCGAAAUUUCUUUCGCUGCCACAAAAAAGGAAAAAUUAUAACGAACACAAGUACCUGCAUAUAAUUCAUCCUUGGAACACAAGUACUCGAACAUUGCUUGCUGCAAAUUAGUAUGACUAGGUCUAGCAUUUUUUUAUAUACCAGACUUCCUUCAUUUCACUAAGUAAGGGUGUAGAAUCUAGGACAUGUUUAUUCAACCCAAAGAUCAUUUAAGAUGGUCCUAAACAUUUGAGCCCAAAACACCCGAUUUUGAUGCAGUUUCUAGGGUCCAAAACUGUAUCAAAUUGGACAAACGAUACCAAAAUU